UUCUCGUCCACGAGGCUGAUGGCGCAGCUUCUGGGAGAGACUGCGAAUGUAUUUUUAUCCGCCAACAAACUGGAGCCUUGCUAGAAAGAGAGAGCUUGGCUGAAUGAAAGUAAAAAUAGAGUAACACUGUGAAAUCACGGAAAUCACCGAAUGCCUGAGACACUUUGUCCAUUAUUUGGAAAUAUUAUAGAAUGAUAGGAUCUAAGAAUAGAAACCUCAAAAUGCAACACAACCUUCAGAGGAUUGGAGGUGAAAAUAACAGGAGUCUCACCUCCUCACAAGGGAGCCAGAAGAUUGCUUUCUCAGACUCUCUCGCUGCUGGGUGCAAGCCUGUGACCCGGGAUCCAUGACCGGGGGUUCACACACACACUGGGUUUAGCACAAGGAGCGGGCGUCAGAGUCCUGGAGGCCCGUCCUGUGCUCAGCGAGGAUGGGACCCCGGGCACGCGGACCACGGCGACAGAGCCCCUACUGGAGACGCCCGGAACUGCAGUCUGAGCAUCGUUUCUGGCAGCUCGCUUCGGAGACUGAUUCUAUGGUCUCCUAGAGAUUCCACGAGCUACUUAACAACCUUCCAUAAAUUCCUUUUCGCAUUGAACAAGCUAGAGUGGAGUCUGUUGCCACACCUUGGGUCAUCUAUUCUGCAACUGGCGUUGUCUCCAGGACCUCAUUAUGUUGUCUUCCAAUCAAUGACAAGAUUAUGAAGUCUCAUUCCCACGCUACUAUAACUCAAAAUAAAAACAACACGAACCACAAAAUAUGUAUCCUUAUUUUAAAUCUUUGCUUUCUAGAAUAAUUUGCAAGGUGCUGGUUAAACUCCUGGACGUGAAACUUCUCUCUCUCUUCUCUCAGCCCCUCUCAUGCUCUUGCUUUUCUGGUGCUCUAAACUGACACCUAAUCUGCCUCUAGUCCUGCACUGUCCAAAACGAGAACCACCAGCUUGUCCUAUGCGGCUGCUGAGCACCUGAAAGGUGGUUGGUCUGAACUGAGAUGUGCUGUAAGUGUGAAAUACACAUUGGACGUUGAAGACACUACUGGAAAAAAAAAAAAGACUGCAAAAUAUUUCAUUAAUAGUUUUGUAUAUUAAUUUAUAUGUUGAAAUGAUAAUAUUUUGGAUAUAUUGCAUUAAAUAAAAUGUAUUAUUAAAAUAGAGUUCAGGGUUUUUUGUUUUGUUUUUUACUUUUUAAUGUGGCUACUAGAAAAUUUAACGUGACAUCUGUGGUUCGAGAUGUAAUUCCAUCUGACAGUGCUGGUCUAGACUGUUAAUGACCAGCAUGAG